CACUCUUGACUCUUGUUUGGCAGAUACAAGUGGUACAGAGGCAGGUGCACGCCUGCGAUUACCCACUCGGAAUACGCUAUCUGUCUGGCGCUCUGUGGUUCUGUUCCUUCGCGAAUCAGUGAGCAGAGAUCACGAGGUAGAUAGGUGGGUUUUAUGAGGUUAUCACGAAAGCUCCCGAGAUCAGAGGAACGCCCGCAAGGUGAAAUGACACAAUAUAUCAUCUGCAUCCUGAGAGGAGGUCUGCGUUGCGUAAAAGAAGCGGAUGAUUGAGGAUAAACUGGGAGGUUUCCCGUGUCUCGGGGUGAUUCCAGUGUCUCAGGAGUCGCGUCUGAGCGGUAAUAGACGAGAGAGACCUAGAGAGAAUAGGUUGUUUGCGCUCCCGGGAGGUCCCGCUCUGCAUGAAAAGGAGCGAUGCAAAAGAGAUUCCCAAGAAGGAUUCCCGAUCUGCGGUCCCUUUUCCGGUGUCUUUUCUUCACGCAAAAGGUGUGGAUCUGGGCCUGUUCCAGUGAAAGCAGGAUAUCCUCCUCGUCCGACUCGUGAAAGGAAAACGUUUCUUCUUGUCCGCGAUAAGAAGCGGCUCCACGGCACCACAGAUUCACUCCAGUGAUCAGAGAGAGAGAGAGAGCACUGACUGACCACAGUGACAACAAUGAUUGACAACACCCCAACCUGAGACCAUACAAACUGAUUGGUUGAUGAAGAUACAGCCAACAGGUUGGCUCCACCCCUCCACACCGUCCCCGACCCAUCGUUGAACUCUUCAAAAACAUUUAACAACAAUCAACACUUCUGAACAACGUUACCUUCUGACACACUCUCAACCUUUAACCAGAAAAACAACAGCCUGGUCACACAGCAGUGACUGUAGCUUCUCCCUGGUCACACAGCAGUGACUGUAGCUUCUCCCUGGUCACACAGCAGUGACUGUAGCUUCUCCCUGGUCACACAGCAGUGACUGUUGCUUCUCUCUGGUCACACAGCAGUGACUGUAGCUUCUCCCUGGUCACACAGCAGUGACUGUAGCUUCUCCCUGGUCACACAGCAGUGACUGUAGCUUCUCCCUGGUCCCACAGCAGUGACUGUAGCUUCUCCCUGGUCCCACAGCAGUGACUGUAGCUUCUCCCUGGUCCCACAGCAGUGACUGUAGCUUCUCCCUGGUCCCACAAAGACCAGUAAACGAAGAGGAAUAACUGUAGUCUGAAGCUGCUCACACACAGUAACAUGGAGCCCCCGCUUCCCACCUUUUGAAGUUGGGAACCGUCUUUCCAAAGUACUUUCUGUCCAUCUUCUCUCUGUCCAUC